rnacentral:RNase_P_RNA from 1 species
CAGGUCAGCCAGGUGCGCGCGCUCAUAGAGUGAGGAAAGUCCGUACACCAUAGAGCAGGAUGCCAGAUAACAUCUGGAGAGGUGUAAACUUCUGGACCGGGCCACAGAAACAUACCGCUCGUGAGAGUAAGGUUGAAAAGGUGGUGUAAGAGACCACCGGCGCUUUUGGUAACAGAAGCGGCCAGGUAACCCCCAUCCGGUGCAAGGUCAAACAGGAGAGAUGAGUUUGCUCGGCUCGCUGGAUCUCCGGGUAGACCGCAUGAGCAGAUUGGUGACAAUUUGUCUAGAUAGAUGCGCAUCCGCGACAGAAUACGGCUUACAGGUUGACCUGAGCA